UAUCUCUGUAGAGUCUGCAUAUCAAUAAGCGGAGGAAAAGAAACUAACAAGGAUUCCCUUAGUAACGGCGAGUGAAGCGGGAAGAGCUCAAAUUUGAAAUCUUCAAGGUUCUACCUUGACGAAUUGUAGUUUAAAGAAGUGUUUUCUGUUAGAUGAGUAGCAAAAGUUCCUUGGAAUGGGACAUCAUAGAGGGUGAGAAUCCCGUAUUUGGUUAUUCAUUCUAGCUUUGUGAUACACUUUCAAAGAGUCGGAUUGUUUGGGAAUGCAGUCCAAAAUGGGUGGUAAAUUUCAUCUAAAGCUAAAUAUUGGCGAGAGACCGAUAGCGAACAAGUACCGUGAGGGAAAGAUGAAAAGAACUUUGAAAAGAGAGUUAAACAGUACGUGAAAUUGUCAAAAGGGAAGCGUUUGACACCAGUGUUGUUUUUCCGAAAAUCAAUUACGAAUGGCUUGAUUCUGUGUUGUAUUGACCUUAUCAGCUUUCUUCACUUUUUUCGAGUCUUUCUUAAUGCACUUUUCGGUUAACAAGUCAACAUCAAUUUCUUUUGUUGUAAAAGAGUAUUCGGAAGGUGGCUUUCUUUUCGGAGAAAGUGUUUAUAGCCCUAUACUUCUACAAUCGGAGAGAUUGAGGUCUGCAGCGUAGAUCCUUCGGGGUUAGAUACACUUGUGCUAAGUUGUAGCUUUUCAUAGACAACUUGUUGACUAUGUUUAGUCAUGCGGCUUACUCGCUUGUGCUAUUUUACCUACGCUUAGGAUGUUGAGGAUGUAGCACAUCAU
rnacentral:rRNA from 1 species